UAAAAGGCCAACACUGUUUCAAAAGCCCAGUUUGCUGUGCUAUAAUUAUCUUCAGUCAUUGGCCCAUCAAGAAGCUGCUUAUAUGUUGACUUGCUUCAACUAUGGUGGUAAACUCUACUAACCUGAGCUAAACAAAUCCAGUAAUGCAAUACGUAUCAGUUUGAUUUUCAUAAAACUUUGCGUACAACCUAAGAAUUACCUACAUAAAAAUCCAACGUCUGUUCCCCAUUUUUAAAUAAGAUUUUUAUUUAUGGUUAAGAAAUUGAAAGGUAUGUUAGGUAAGAGAUGUUCCCUAACAUUUAAACAUAAACAAUAAGAAUUUGUACUCCAAGUCCAACAUGUACAUAAUGUACUUUGAAAUGUAAUUUUAUCUGAUUAUUAACAUUUUGUUCAAAAAACAUCUAUUGUACUCCAGAAU
rnacentral:lncRNA from 1 species